CGGCCUUCGGGUUGUAAACCUCUUUCAGCACGGAAGAAGCGAAAGUGACGGUACGUGCAGAAGAAGCGCCGGCUAACUACGUGCCAGCAGCCGCGGUAAUACGUAGGGCGCAAGCGUUGUCCGGAAUUAUUGGGCGUAAAGAGCUCGUAGGCGGUUUGUCGCGUCUGCUGUGAAAGCCCGGGGCUUAACCCCGGGUGUGCAGUGGGUACGGGCAGACUUGAGUGCAGUAGGGGAGACUGGAAUUCCUGGUGUAGCGGUGAAAUGCGCAGAUAUCAGGAGGAACACCGAUGGCGAAGGCAGGUCUCUGGGCUGUUACUGACGCUGAGGAGCGAAAGCAUGGGGAGCGAACAGGAUUAGAUACCCUGGUAGUCCAUGCCGUAAACGUUGGGCACUAGGUGUGGGGAACAUUCCACGUUUUCCGCGCCGUAGCUAACGCAUUAAGUGCCCCGCCUGGGGAGUACGGCCGCAAGGCUAAAACUCAAAGGAAUUGACGGGGGCCCGCACAAGCGGCGGAGCAUGCGGAUUAAUUCGAUGCAACGCGAAGAACCUUACCAAGGCUUGACAUACACCGGACCGGGCCAGAGAUGGUCUUUCCCCCUUGUGGGGCUGGUGUACAGGUGGUGCAUGGUUGUCGUCAGCUCGUGUCGUGAGAUGUUGGGUUAAGUCCCGCAACGAGCGCAACCCUCGUUCUAUGUUGCCAGCACGUGAUGGUGGGGACUCAUAGGAGACUGCCGGGGUCAACUCGGAGGAAGGUGGGGAUGACGUCAAAUCAUCAUGCCCCUUAUGUCUUGGGCUUCACGCAUGCUACAAUGGCCAGUACAAUGGGUUGCGAUGCCGCGAGGUGGAGCUAAUCCCAAAAAGCUGGUCUCAGUUCGGAUCGUGGUCUGCAACUCGACCACGUGAAGUCGGAGUCGCUAGUAAUCGCAGAUCAGCAACGCUGCGGUGAAUACGUUCCCGGGCCUUGUACACACCGCCCGUCAAGUCACGAAAGUUGGUAACACCCGAAGCCGGUGGCCUAACCCUGU
rnacentral:rRNA from 1 species